rnacentral:rRNA from 1 species
UAAGGAAUAUUGGUCAAUGGUGGGAACACUGAACCAGCCAUCCCGCGUGCAGGACGAAGGCCCUCUGGGUUGUAAACUGCUCUUAACAGGGAAGAAACGGGCGGAUUAAUCUGCUCCUGACGGUACCUGUGGAAUAAGCACCGGCUAACUCCGUGCCAGCAGCCGCGGUAAUACGGAGGGUGCAAGCGUUAUCCGGAAUCACUGGGUUUAAAGGGUGCGUAGGCGGCCUGGUAAGUCAGGGGUGAAAGCU